rnacentral:rRNA from 1 species
UGGGGAAUUUUGGACAAUGGGCGAAAGCCUGAUCCAGCAAUGCCGCGUGUGUGAAGAAGGCCUUCGGGUUGUAAAGCACUUUUGUCCGGAAAGAAAUCCUCUGGGUUAAUACCUCGGGGGGAUGACGGUACCGGAAGAAUGAGCACCGGCUAACUACGUGCCAGCAGCCGCGGUAAUACGUAGGGUGCAAGCGUUAAUCGGAAUUACUGGGCGUAAAGCGUGCGCAGGCGGUUUUGUAAGACGGAUGUGAAAUCCCCGGGCUUAACCUGGGAACUGCAUUCGUGACUGCAAGGCUAGAGUAUGGCAGAGGGGGGUAGAAUUCCACGUGUAGCAGUGAAAUGCGUAGAGAUGUGGAGGAAUACCGAUGGCGAGGGCAGCCCCCUGGGCCAAUACUGACGCUCAUGCACGAAAGCGUGGGGAGCAAACAGGAUUAGAUACCCUGGUAGUCCACGCCCUAAAACGAUGUCAACUAGUUGUUGGGGAUUCAUUUCCUUAGUAACGUAGCUAACGCGUGAAGUUGACCGCCUGGGGAGUACGGUCGCAAGAUUAAAACUCAAAGGAAUUGACGGGGUCAUAGCUGUUUCCU